GAAAAUAUCAACUUGAGUGGGAAAAGGCAAUCAACAUAUGCCCUUUAUUGUGCAAAACUCGGGUAACAGGUAAACAAGAUUAACAGGGACCGCUAGGAUCAAGAAAUGGAAGAUGCCUCCCUACAUACAUCUGAGAUGAAUCCACAAAGAUAUCAAUCAUUUUGUUACCUGGAGGCCAGGUGAUGAGAUCUGAAAUCAUCUUAUCUAAAUCCAGCACACAGUUUAUACCCACUGUACCUAUCAAAUUAUUCAAAGGUCCCUUCUGAUACAUUGCAAAAAUGGAUACAACUUUUCCCUCCUUUUAGCUUCUUUCCUUGUGUAAUGUGACUUUGAAGCUCUUACUAUUAUAUCAAGAAAUAAAAUCUAUUGUCUCUGGAUUGGUCUUGUGACUGCUUUGGCCAAUGGAAUACAACAACAAAGCUGUUGAUAUACACAUUCCAACUCUAGGCCUCAAGAGCCUUGCCGAAUUCCACCUGCUGUCCUGGGAUCUCCGCCUUCCCCAUAGAACCAAGCGUGGGCUAGUCCCCUGGAGGAUGAGAUCUCACAUAGUCCAUAAUCAAAUGGGUCUC
rnacentral:lncRNA from 1 species